rnacentral:rRNA from 1 species
UACGGAGGGGGCUAGCGUUGUUCGGAAUUACUGGGCGUAAAGCGCACGUAGGCGGCUUUGUAAGUUAGAGGUGAAAGCCCGGGGCUCAACUCCGGAAUUGCCUUUAAGACUGCAUCGGCUAGAAUUGUGGAGAGGUAAGUGGAAUUCCGAGUGUAGAGGUGAAAUUCGUAGAUAUUCGGAAGAACACCAGUGGCGAAGGCGACUUACUGGACACAUAUUGACGCUGAGGUGCGAAAGCGUGGGGAGCAA